rnacentral:lncRNA from 1 species
GUCUUGUGCAAAGUGACUGCCUGUUUUCAGUUGCGUAUUUGCCAUGAGAUGCCCAGCUCUGCCCUGCCCAGUGAACCCAGUAACUGCAGAGCCAGCAAUAGGAGAAGCAAGCUUCGCUGGUGACAGGUGCAGGGUGCAGGGCCAUCACCCAGUCCCUCUCCAGGGGUAGCAGAUGUGACACACAUGGGGCGUCCAGGUCCAGGUCCAGCCCCAGCCAGGCAACACCAGGGCAGCCAUUAAUUCUUGCAGGACUCUUCUCUUGUCCACGGGACCCAGGCGGCCUGGCAUCCCUGUCCCGUGACCUGAAGGAAGCCUCCAUCUGGAGGCUGUGGCGGGGUUUGACGACCCCCGUUCCCCAUCCCCCUUGCUGGCUGCCAAGUCCACGGCUGGUCGGCUUCAAAGAAGGGGCAUGGUGGAGAAAAGCUGCUCACAUCAUGGCGACCAGGAAGCAGAGGCAGAAGAGAGGAGCCAGGAAGGGAGAUGAGCCCUCCCAGGCCAUUUGAGACCCCACCUGGCAGCAAGUCAGCUAUGAGCCCGUGACCCACACCUUCCAGAGGUCCCACCUAUGGUCACAUGAGGCUGUGGGGGAUAUCCAGAUAUAAACUACAGCAAACCACCAGUGUUUGCCUCCUUACACACUCUAGUAAGGGAAACACAAAACUUCAGGAUAUAAAACUAACACAUGAAGCAAUAGGUUCCUGCACACCAAUAAUCAGCCCACUGAGAAAGAAAUCAGAAAAACAGCUCCACUCAGUAGCUUCAAAAAAAUUUAAGUACCUAGGAACCUAACCAAGGAAGUUAGUGACCUCUACAAUGAAAACUACUGAAACUGAAGAAAAACAGAAAAAACUAGAAAGUGGAAAGAGACCCUCUGUUCAUGGAUGAGAAGAAAUAAUACUGUGAAAAUGGCUAUAUUACUAAAAGCAAUCUACAGAUUGAAUGAAGUUCCUAUUAAAAUACCAACAACAUUCUUUACAGAACAACAACAAAAAAAUCCUAAAGGCCAUAUCUAGAAUAAGAAUAGCCAAGCAGUCCUGAGCAAAAAGAGCAAAGCUGGAGGCCUCACAAGACAAGGCUCAGCUUACGUGGCAGAGCUGGAGUACCAAAGACACCACGGUACCAGCAGAAAGCAGACACAGAUCCACAGACUGCAGCGGAGGGCACAGAAACAAACCUGUGCGUCUGCUGCCAUCUGACUUCAGUCAGAGGGGCCAAAACCAGGCUGGAGAAAAGACAGCCUCCGUCACAGACAGUGCAGGGGAGACUGGACACCCAUGUAGAGAAGACUGAAAGAUCCCUGUCUCCCACCCUCUACUGAAGUCAAAUCAAAAUGGAUUAGAGACCCAGAUAUAAAACCCGAAACUUUGAAACUGCUGGGAGAGAACAGAGGAAACACUUGAAACCAUAGGCACAAAGACUUCCUGACUUGGCUCCAAUAGCCCCAGAAAUAAUAUCAAGAAUCAACAAAUGAGCCGCAUGUGGUGGUGCAUGCCUGUGAUCCGAGCACUCCAGAGGCUGAGGCAGGAGGAUCACAGAUGAAGCCACUCUGAAUUAAUUAAAAAUAAAAAUAAAUAAAAUAAAAUAAAAUGGGACUACAUCAAAAAGCCUCCAGGGCCGGGGAUUUAGCUCAGUGGCACCAUGGCCGGCCUCAAAAGCCCAAGGUCCUGAGUUCAAUGUCCAGUACCAAAAAAAAGCUUCCACACAGCAAAGGAAAAAAUAAAGAGACAGCCUGCAAAAUGGGAGAAAAUCUUUGCUAGCUACUUUUCUGAUAGAUUAAUAUCUAUAUAGUAUAUAACUCAAAAAGAUUACCCCCCCC